CAGAAGUAAGAACCGGGAGAUCUUGUGAGCGCGCGUGCGUCUGACGUUGCUAAAAGGGCACUUCUAAAAAAUUUUGGAGCAUCCUCUGCCACUGGUCAGGAUGAGCCAACCACCUCCUUCGCUACACAUAUGUCUCCACAAAUAUCUGAUAUUGAGGAUGAAGACCUCUUUGCCUCUACUUCUACCCAGCAUGAGCUUUCAGAAAUGCCUGGAGCUAAACCCCCACUGAGCCCCACUGGCCCUCACAUCUGACUGACAGGAUUCGGACUGAGCUGGUUCACAG